UUAAAGAGUUCUAUAACUCCCAAACCCAUGUGAACAUACCUAACGUUGCCUCGGCAGGUCGCACCUACCUUGUAGCACCCUACCCUGUAGGGCCUACCCGGGAGAUGCGGGUAAGCCUGCCGGCGGCCCACCAAACUCUGUUUGAUAUUGAAUUCUGAACAUAUAACUAAAUAAGUUAAAACUUUCAACAACGGAUCUCUUGGUUCUGGCAUCGAUGAAGAACGCAGCGAAAUGCGAUAAGUAAUGUGAAUUGCAGAAUUCAGUGAAUCAUCGAAUCUUUGAACGCAUAUUGCGCCCAUUAGUAUUCUAGUGGGCAGGACCGUUCGAGCGUCAUUUCGACCCUUAAGCCUUAGUUGCUUAGUGUUGGGAGCCUACGGCAACGUAGCUCCUCAAAGUUAGUGGCGGAGUUGGUUCACACUCUAGACGUAGUAAUUUUUUAUCUCGCCUAUUAGUUGGACUGAUCCCCUGCCGUAAAACCCCCAACUUAUCAAGGUUGACCUCGAAUCGGUUCAGACAAACUCGCUAAAUUGAAGCAUCUUAGUCAGCGAAGGAAAAGAAACCAACAGGGAUUGCCCUAGUAACGGCGAGUGAAGCGGCAACAGCUCAAAUUUGAAAUCUGGCCCUCGGGUCCGAGUU
rnacentral:rRNA from 1 species